CCGCUGAACUUAAGCAUAUCAUUAAGCGGAGGAAAAGAAACUAACAAGGAUUCCCCUAGUACGGGCGACGGAAGCGGGAAAAGCCCACGCUGGUAAUCUCCGGGCGGCAGCUCGGCGAAUUGUAAUCUGGAGACGGUUAGCGUACCUGGGCCCGGCGCUUAAGUGCGCACGAGCGCGCCGCCAAAGAGGGUGAGAGCCCCGUUCGGCGCCGGGACCUACACGCGCUGGCCGCCUAAGAGUCGUGUACUUUGAUACUAGUGCACUAAGCGGGAGAUAAACUUCUUCUAAGGCUAAAUACAAGUAGGAAACCGAUAGCGAACAAGUACUGUGAAGGAAAGAUGAAAAGCACUUUGGAAAGAAAGUUAAAAGACUUGAAAUCGUUGAGGCGGACCCGGUAGAAAUAUAUUCUAGCGAAGCGCCCUGGGAAGCCUCUACGGGGGUGGCUCGGGCGUUAGCCGAGACAAGGUGGAGUCGCGCGGUGCCAGAGGCCGUGCGUGGGGUGGCUUGCUAUCCUGCGUGCUGGUCGGGUGCUGUGUGGCUCGAGGGGCCUUGAGCGACCUGUCAAA
rnacentral:rRNA from 1 species